UACGUAGGGGCCUAGCGUUGUCCGGAUUUAUUGGGCGUAAAGAGCUCGUAGGCGGUCUGUCACGUCGGUCGUGAAAACUUGGGGCUUAACCCUGAGCUUGCGGUCGAUACGGGCAUGACUUGAGUUCGGCAGGGGAGACUGGAAUUCCUGGUGUAGCGGUGAAAUGCGCAGAUAUCAGGAGGAACACCGAUGGCGAAGGCAGGUCUCUGGGCCACUACUGACGCUGAGAAGCGAAAGCGUGGGGAGCGAACAGG
rnacentral:rRNA from 1 species